rnacentral:rRNA from 1 species
UACGGAGGAUGCAAGCGUUAUCCGGAAUGAUUGGGCGUAAAGCGUCCGCAGGCGGCAGUUUAAGUCUGCUGUCAAAGACCGGGGCUUAACUUCGGAAAGGCAGUGGAAACUGAACAGCUAGAGUAUGGUAGGGGCAGAGGGAAUUCCUGGUGUAGCGGUGAAAUGCGUAGAGAUCAGGAAGAACAUCGGUGGCGAAGGCGCUCUGCUGGACCAUAACUGACGCUCAGGGACGAAAGCUAGGGGAGCGAAUGGG